rnacentral:lncRNA from 1 species
GAAGGGAGACAGACAAGAUUCUUUGAGAACACGUGGAAGGACACCCUGGGGAAACUCACCUCUGACUCCCACAAGAACCAAAUCCCAGUCCUGGAUGCAAAGAUGGAUUUGAGAAAUCUGGGUUUUCACCAAAAACUAACGUAGUAUAUCCAGUUACAGUGGGUGUUCUUUGGCAAGAUUUAGAACCACAGAAUGACUGAUGAGAAGAGGCAUCCUAAGAGGUCACAUGAGGAACUGACAUCUUUGUCCACUGACAAGACCAGUCUAGAGAGCACCAUGCAAAUAAACAACUUUUGUAGGUACAGUCUGUGCAGAUUCUGGGUCACAUAAAUGCAC